rnacentral:SRP_RNA from 1 species
CGGGCGGGCUCGGGCGGCGUCAUGUCGUGAACCUGGUCAGGUCCGGAAGGAAGCAGCCAUAAGCGGCCUCUGACGAGCGCCCGGGUCCGCCGGGGG